UGGGGAAUAUUGCACAAUGGGGGAAACCCUGAUGCAGCGACGCCGCGUGAACGAAGAAGGUAUUCGUAUCGUAAAGUUCUGUCCUAUGGGAAGAUAAUGACAGUACCAUAGAAGAAAGCUCCGGCUAAAUACGUGCCAGCAGCCGCGGUAAUACGUAUGGAGCGAGCGUUGUCCGGAAUUAUUGGGCGUAAAGGGUACGCAGGCGGUUUAAUAAGUCGAAUGUUAAAGAUCGGGGCUCAACCCCGCAAAGCAUUGGAAACUGAUAAACUUGAGUAGUGGAGAGGAAAGUGUAAUUCCUAGUGUAGUGGUGAAGUACGUAGAGAUUAGGAGGAAUACCAGUAGCGAAGGCGACUUUCUGGACACAAACUGACGCUGAGGUACGAGAGCGUGGGGAGCGAAAAGG
rnacentral:rRNA from 1 species